AACAGGAUUAGAUACCCUGGUAGUCCAUGCCGUAAACGUUGGGCACUAGGUGUGGGGGACAUUCCACGUUUUCCGCGCCGUAGCUAACGCAUUAAGUGCCCCGCCUGGGGAGUACGGCCGCAAGGCUAAAACUCAAAGGAAUUGACGGGGGCCCGCACAAGCGGCGGAGCAUGCGGAUUAAUUCGAUGCAACGCGAGGAACCUUACCAAGGCUUGACAUGGACCGGACCGCUGCAGAGAUGUAGCUUCCCUUCGGGGCUGGUUCACAGGUGGUGCAUGGUUGUCGUCAGCUCGUGUCGUGAGAUGUUGGGUUAAGUCCCGCAACGAGCGCAACCCUUGUCCUAUGUUGCCAGCACGUAAAGGUGGGGACUCAUGGGAGACUGCCGGGGUCAACUCGGAGGAAGGUGGGGAUGACGUCAAAUCAUCAUGCCCCUUAUGUCUUGGGCUUCACGCAUGCUACAAUGGCCGGUACAGUGGGUUGCGAUACUGUGAGGUGGAGCUAAUCCCUAAAAGCCGGUCUCAGUUCGGAUCGAAGUCUGCAACUCGACUUCGUGAAGUUGGAGUCGCUAGUAAUCGCAGAUCAGCAACGCUGCGGUGAAUACGUUCCCGGGCCUUGUACACACCGCCCGUCAAGUCACGAAAGUUGGUAACACCCGAAGCCCAUGGCCCAACCCUUGUGGAGGGAAUGGUCGAAGGUGGGACUAGCGAUUGGGACUAAGUCGUAACAAGGUAACC
rnacentral:rRNA from 1 species